rnacentral:rRNA from 1 species
CCUACGGGCGGCAGCAGUAGGGAAUAUUUCUCAAUGGGGGAAACCCUGAAGCAGCAACGCCGCGUGGAGGAUGAAGGUUUUCGGAUUGUAAACUCCUUUUGUUAGAGAAGAUAAUGACGGUAUCUAACGAAUAAGCACCGGCUAACUCCGUGCCAGCAGCCGCGGUAAUACGUAGGGUGCAAGCGUUACUCGGAAUCACUGGGCGUAAAGAGUGCGAAGGCGGGAUAGCAAGUUAGAUGUGAAAUCCUAUGGCUUAACCAUAUCACUGCAUUUGAAACUGUUAAUCUAGAGUAUGGGAGGGGUAAGUGGAAUUCUUGGUGUAGGAGUGAAAUCCGUAGAGAUCAGGAGGAAUACUCAUUGCGGAGGCAGGCUACUGGAACAUAACUGACGCUGAGGCGCGAAAGCGUGGGGAGCAAACGGGAUUAGAUACCCCAGUAGUC